GAUAAUGACGGUACCUGUAGAAGAAGCUGCGGCUAACUUCGUGCCAGCAGCCGCGGUAAUACGUAGGGGGCAAGCGUUGUUCGGAAUUACUGGGCGUAAAGGGUGCGUAGGCGGUUUUCUAAGUUUGGUGUGAAAUCUCCCGGCUCAACCGGGAGGGUGCGCCGAAAACUGGCGGGCUUGAGUAUGGGAGAGGAAAGUGGAAUUCCUGGUGUAGCGGUGAAAUGCGUAGAUAUCAGGAGGAACACCUGUGGUGAAAACGGCUUUCUGGACCAUUACUGACGCUGAGGCACGAAAGCGUGGGGAGCAAACAGGAUUAGAUACCCUGGUAGUCCACGCCCUAAACGAUGCAUACUUGGUGUGGG
rnacentral:rRNA from 1 species